AUACGGAGGGAGCUAGCGUUGUUCGGAGUUACUGGGCGUAAAGCGCGCGUAGGCGGCUUUGCAAGUAGAGGGUGAAAUCCCAGGGCUUAACCCUGGAACUGCCUCCUAAACUGCAGAGCUAGAAUCCUGGAGAGGUGAGUGGAAUUCCUAGUGUAGAGGUGAAAUUCGUAGAUAUUAGGAAGAACACCAGUGGCGAAGGCGACUCACUGGACAGGUAUUGACGCUAAGGUGCGAAAGCGUGGGGAGCGAACAGGAUUAGAAACCCUAGUAGUCC
rnacentral:rRNA from 1 species